GACGAACGCUGGCGGCGUGCUUAACACAUGCAAGUCGAACGCAAAGGCCCUGCUUUUGUGGGGUGCUCGAGUGGCGAACGGGUGAGUAACACGUGAGUAACCUGCCCUUGACUUUGGGAUAACUUCAGGAAACUGGGGCUAAUACCGGAUAGGAGCUCCUGCCGCAUGGUGGGGGUUGGAAAGUUUCGGCGGUUGGGGAUGGACUCGCGGCUUAUCAGCUUGUUGGUGGGGUAGUGGCUUACCAAGGCUUUGACGGGUAGCCGGCCUGAGAGGGUGACCGGCCACAUUGGGACUGAGAUACGGCCCAGACUCCUACGGGAGGCAGCAGUGGGGAAUAUUGCACAAUGGGCGGAAGCCUGAUGCAGCAACGCCGCGUGCGGGAUGACGGCCUUCGGGUUGUAAACCGCUUUCGCCUGUGACGAAGCGUGAGUGACGGUAAUGGGUAAAGAAGCACCGGCUAACUACGUG
rnacentral:rRNA from 1 species